UACGUAGGGGCCUAGCGUUGUCCGGAUUUAUUGGGCGUAAAGAGCUCGUAGGCGGUUUGGUAAGUCAGGUGUGAAAUCUCCACGCUCAACGUGGAGGCGCCACCUGAAACUGCCAUGACUUGAGUCCGGUAGGGGAGUGUGGAAUUCCCGGUGUAGCGGUGAAAUGCGUAGAGAUCGGGAGGAAGGCCGGUGGCGAAGGCGGCGCUCUGGAACAUUUCUGACGCUGAGGCUCGAAAGCGUGGGGAGCAAACAGG
rnacentral:rRNA from 1 species